CAGUAAGGCGGAGCUGCACAUUUGUAGUUUCUCUUUUUAGAAACAUAAAACAGUAGUCACAGCUUCCAUGCCUGUGUUUAUGCCAUCCUCGCCCCUUCAGCCUGGUGAUUUUAGAUGAGGGUGGCAAGAGGCUGCUGGGCAGAGUUGAACUUAUUUUUCUUAAACACUAUUAUGAGCAGAUGUGCGGGUGCACGCCCAUGAUCUCAGCACUCUGGGAAGCUGAGGCAGGAGGACUGCAAAUUUGAGGCCAGCUUGGAUAACUUAGUGAGACCCCGUUUCUUAACAAAAAAUGAAAAGGGUUGGGAUGUAGCUCAGUUAGUCGAGCACUCUUGGAUUCAAGCCCUUGCACUGAAAAACAAAAACCAAGAAGCAUUACUCAACGGUCUUGUUCAAGAGGUGGCAGCUCUCGGAGCGAUCCUUAGUCAUGCCCCAUGGGUACUGGGCAGGGUGUUCGGGCACUGGGAGAUCACCCCUUGAUUCUUUGGGCGUCUGCUCUGAGCAGCGUGGAGGGAGCUGCAGCGCUGCAGGGAGGACUGGUCACCCAGAACUCUCUCUUGUUUCCCUAGUGAUGGAUCGUGCCACCACAGCGGUCCCAGCAGGUGAACAAUGCUGAAGCCAACGCACCAUGUACAGCGUGGAGGACCUGCUGAUCUCUCAUGGCUACAAACCACCCCGAGACCUCCCAGGGCCACAUGGGGCCAAGGCUGGUGGGCAUGCACAGGCGAGAACAAGGCCCAGAGGCAGCCAGGGCCUGCAGAAUGGAUGUGAGGAUGGUGCCCCUACCCCAGCACCAGCCAGGCUGGCCCCAGGGACAGGCCCCGUGAGUGCCCCUGAGGGCCAACGAGGCGCGCCCCGGCACCGCACGGAGCACCACAGGACUUCCGCUUCCAGAGCUUCAGAAGCAGGGUUUUAUAAUCAACCUGCCUUAGCAUGGUCCUCUCAGCCCCAGAUCGGUAACGACCAGGCCUGUUGGAGAAGAGGCCAGAAGGCCAGCAGCUUGCUGGGCCCGCGGGACCGGGAUGACGCUGAGGUCAGAAGGGUGGCCCAAGCCCACAGUCUGCCUGUGCCCAUGAGGGAGGGCCCGUGGGAUGUCGGAGGAAGGACCGAGCAUGUGGUGAAGAAAGCAGUUUGGGAAGAAGAGCCGAGGAUGUCGAGCGCUGCCAGAUGGCAGAAUGUAAGCCUCGAGAGCUGGAGCCAGCCGAGGGAGCUGGGAAGGCAGAUGUCCGAUGGUGACGGGGAGAAGCUGUUCCAGGGUCUGUACCCAUUCACUCAAGGAGAGCAUGCACUGACUUCUCAGAGCAGGAAGAAAUCCCAGUCGUUGCCUCGAGUCCUUUCUCCUGAGAGCCUGAGUUACAUGGAAAUUCCCAUUCCACUGAACGAUGGACACUUACCAGGUGUUCCCAAAGUGCCCCCGCAUCCUCCCGAUCGUGCUCCCCAGUUGGAAUUGACCAAAAACCCCGAAAAGGCUGGCUCCUCGGCCCCAUUCCCCCGGCCUAAGUUUGGGAGACCCCUCAAGCCUCCGUAUGGGCCACACCCACAGCCCAGGAGCAGGGAACGGGGCGCCCUUCAGGACAGCCAGCAGAUGGACCUGCCCGGUUCCUGCUUGACCAGAAGCAGCGACCCCAGGCAUGAGCCCAGUGUGCCAGACUGCAGCUUGGAGCCCCCGGUGUAUGUGCCUCCGCCUUCAUACAGGUCGCCUCCCCAGCACAUCCCAAACCCCUACCUGGAGGAGCCGGUGCCCAGACAGGGGAGUGGUGGCCAUGGCCCACAGUACCAGCCCACCGAAAAGCCUGGGCCCAGCGAUCCGCUUCCUCCCGGCCUCUUCAGGACUGGGAAUGAACCUGGUGCAAGCCCAGGCGCCCUGCGCGGUCUCCCUGCACACCCUCGUCCUGUCGCCCCCACCUGCGAAGGCUCCAUUCAGUACAUUCCCUUUGAUGACCCGCGGAUCCGCCAUAUCAGACUGGCUCCGCCUCUGGGUUUCUGUGCAGAAGUGAAGCCUGAUGAUAGAUGUUACGACGCUGGUCCUGUUCCUGCCUCGGAGCCAGCUCAGGAGAAGAGGCACCGUGACAGUGCCGUUUUGAAGGCACGGAGCCUGACACCCCCACUGGGGACUGAGAGGGGCCCGGCCUUUGUGGAUCCUAGCCCACCGUGGCUCUGGGGCCAGCUCCGCGGGGAUGGAGAAGAUGCAGGCUUCCCUGACCAAAGAGAACGCUGCGUUGUGAGAGGACAGCAGGCCCCAGGGGAAGGUGGCCAGCACGGCCGUGCAGAGGGCCAUGUUUCCUCCCCAGACCCACAAGGCAGUGAGAGGGCCUGCGAAACCCGGACCAAGCUCAGAAUGUUUGAAACUGGGAUGCAGACCAAGAAAAGUUCAAAGAAAAAAACGAAUGAGACUAUAUUUUGUUUGGUUUCCAUCCCAGUUAAAUCAGAAUCCCAUCUGCCAGAGAUAGAUACGAACAACAAUGACUUAAAACAGAGAGCUGAUAAAAAGCCCGGGACUGAUAAGAGCCCAGCCUUGCAGGAGCAAAGUCUGCUGAGCAUGUCUGCCACUGACCUGGAGCUGCAGGCCCUCACGAGGAGCAUGGCUGGAAAAACAGAGUUCCCGAAGCAAGAUCUAGGGGAACCAGACGGAGACAAACAAACAGAUGACCUCAGAUUCAUGCACCUUGCAAAGCACAGAGAGCUCAAGUACUCUGGCUCGUGGCCAGGGCACCAGUACCGGGACCAGCAAACACAAACCAGCUUCCCUGAAGAACCUAAAAGCUCACAGCUCCUCCCUGCUUCGACGCUGGGUGUGCUGAGUAGCACAGCCCCAACCCCAAAAUGUUUAGAUCCCACUGACACUCACAUGCAUGUGCCUUUCGGGCCCAGUGACCACAAACGGAAGGCAUAUGCUCCUAACCUGAAGGGCCAGAUGUCCCUCAGUCCGUCCAGCAAUAGUGCUUUCUCAAGGACUUCCCCAUCCACCAGCCAGGCACCUGUGCCAAAAGCUGGCCAGAGUCAGCCCUGCCUGGAUGUCCUCAAACCGGAGGUGGUGAAGGGGGAGCCCACAGCAGGCCCCUGCAACAGUAAGCAGCUGUUUGGUCAGUUUCUUCUGAAACCAGUUAGCCGGCGCCCGUGGGAUCUGAUCAGUCAGCUGGAAAGCUUUAAUAAGGAGAUUCAAGAAGAGGAAGACAGCCCUGAUGGCAGCAGCGGCAGCAGCAGUGAGGAAAACGAGAUAGAACGACAGGAAGGCUGUGUUGGUUCCAGGCCAAGGAACUGGGGCUUCUGUGAAGACAGCCAGGGAAAGGGAGUCAAGCCGCAGCCGAGGGAGCUGGUGCUGCAGGAUCCCGGAUGUUGGUCAGGAAGAGUGAAAAGUGAGUCUGAGAGCCAGAGCGAGGAGCUGAAGGCUGGGCGCCUGCCUGCCCGCCCUCGGGCCCCCGGCUUCUCGCAGGUGCUAGACAGCACAGGUGACCCUCUUGGGUCAGUGGAUGAAAACUGGGUGACAGAGAAGCGGAGGCAGGAGAUUGUCAAUGGAGCAGGUGAGCUCGAAGUCAGCCCAGGUCCUGUGAAAAGAGUGAUAUCUUCAAGACCCAGUGACACAAAACCAGUUACCCUUUCCUGGCUGGCUGAGCCAAGGGAGCUAGCAGGAAGUGAGAAGUUCACUGAUGCUUUGAGCUCUGUGCAGCUGAGCAGAGCGGAUCCCCUGGAGGUGGACAGUGCUGAGGAGAGGGGCCUGGGGGUCCCGCUGGCCCUUACUGACAAGAGCCGGGGCCUCUCCGCACCGGACUUGCGGUCCGCUGGGCUCAUGAUGGGACCUGAGCCGAGUGCCCGUGAGCUAGUCAGGCCUCCGGGUGAAGGGGGUGCCACAGAGAUGCCCCUGAGCGAGUCGCUGCAGGCCAGGGCGGCAAGGAUCCUGGGCAUCGAGGUGGCCAUGGAGUCCCUGCUGCCGGGCACCAGGACAGCAGGGCCGAGCCAGCCCCCUGAGCCUGAUGCAAGUGCCUGCAGCCUGGAGCCGCCCAGGGAGGAGUCCUUGCCCAGCUCAGCAACGUCACUUGGCCCUACAGUGACCACAGAUGCCUUCUAUGGUAGGAGGAAGUGUGGCUGGACCCAGAGCCCCCUUUUUGUGGGGGACAGGGCCCCCCAGGCUUCUGAGCACUCAGCUGUGGACGGGGUCCUCGCCAGCCAAGACACCAGCCCCGAGCCCCAGCUUGGCCCUCUGGAGUCCAAGUCUCUGGAGCAAAAGCUGAUGGGGCCAAAACCACCCUUCAGGUCCACAUUGCUCCACGUUAUGGAAAGGACCCCAAGUGUGUCAGGUUUGGAAAAGAGGCUCAGAAGCCCUUCCAAAGUGAUCGAAAGUUUGCAAGAGAAACUGGCGUCCCCGCCGAGGAGGGCGGACCCCGACCGCCUGAUCAGAAUGAAGGAGGUGAGCUCGGUGUCGCGGAUGCGGAGCCUGAGCUUCAGGAGCGCGGAGGGCACAGAGGAGGACGAGGAGCCGAAGGCCGAGCGGGGCCAGGCCUGGCAGCCCCGGGGCCCCGUGUCCCCGAGCGGGGGAGACCGGGCGUGGAAAGGGGGGCACCCGCCCUCCAUCUCCAAGGGCAUCGUCACGUGGGAAGAAAAUGGGCACAUGGCAGCCCAGAGGGAGAAGAGCGAGGGUCAGGACUUCUGGUGCCCAGGGCAUCCACAGCUCUUCAGGCGGAGAGCAUCUCAUCUUGGCAGCCCCCUCAGGCAGCCUCAUGUCCCUGGAGAGCAGGGCACACAUAGGGGCAGCUGCGCAUGCUUGUUGCUGCUCAGGUGGCCUCCGUGGGCCUUUCCUGUGGUGGUCACCAGGCCUCAGCAUUCAACAGUCGUCCUUCUGAGAGGAAUCCAGGUCCUGUGCGGACCUGCUCACUUUUGCACUCACAGUUGCUGUGGCCUUUGUGAUAGCCCUUGGAUCUUGUUUUCUUUUGAUGCAUUCUGUCAUUUCAAAUGCAGAAUCUCAUCUCCAUCCGACUCACUCCUGCUGCUGUUACCCCAGUGCGGUAGAACUGCUUCCAGUAGCUCUGAAUUGGUCCCAGAUUCACAGUCCUUGUCUAUGCAGAUUCUGUUCUAGAACUGUAAAACAAGGUCAUACAGUGUUAUCUCCGCAGCCACUCCCUACACGCACGCACGUGCAUACACACAUGGCCCUCCAGAACCUUACCUUGUGUUGUGGUACCUGUCAUAUGAUGCAGUUAUUUCAGAUUAAGGGUGGUCAUUUCAGUUAGCAUUUUUUAGUUGUCUUUUUGGCUCUGGCUAAAAAAAACCAGCUCAAAACUAGUUGAGGUCACGGAUUCCCUUCUCUGCUGGUGCCGUAUUCUACUUCAGAAGUGUGAUCACGGGCACAGAGAGUCUGGAGAGCCUGCCGGUCCGUUCAGCUUUCCUGUUAGCAUUCCUAUGACCCCAGCAGAGUGGAGAGAGUGUGAGGAAAUGCCAGCGAGGCCCGGCGCCGCCUUGGUUUGCUGGCUGAGUCUUCCCCGCUCCAGUCCGGCCUCCCAUCUGGCCCAGGCAGAAGCUGGAAGCUGCUGGGUUUGAGUGUCCCGGUUCCCCGCCACUGGCGUCUGUGUAGCCUUGUGGAGAUGAAGCAACAGUCCGCUGAAACCAUCUGUUUUCAUAGCAUGAAGAUCUGUGCUUAUAUUUAGAAAAGAGUUUUCACAUAAACCCUACUUUGUGGAGGAGGAGGCCGUGCUGGUAAAUAGUGAGGUGCUGAUCUGUGUCCGUGUGAGAGCUGAAAUGUGGACGACGUCGUGAGUGAGCCUGAAAGGACCGUGAGCACCCUCAGCUUCUGCGUGCGUGUGUGAGGCUGCGGUCCGUGCCCUUGCCCAAGGCCUGAGGCAUGGGCCUUUGCCUGGCCGGGGGGCUCUUCGAGCUGAGGGACAGCGUGUGUGAAUAUGUGUGACCCAUUUCCAGUCACCUUGGCAUUGUGCUGCUGGAAGUGACUUGACUUACCAGUACCUUGCGGUCAGAGAAUAAAAGCAAUAUCUUUGAAUUCCUAAAAGAUGACACUUGUAUUGUAAUAUACUAAAGAGUAUUAUUUAUCUGGCAAUGAAAUGCUUUGAUCAUUUGCAAAUAUGCCAUUGUCUGCUUUGCACUCAGUAUUAUCUAUUUUUAUUUUCUGUAUGGAUGUUUAGAAAUACUUUAUAUGAAAAAUAAUUGCUGGUUUAAAAGAGACCAUUUUAACAAAGUGACUAUAUUUCUUUUUACAAAAUUGCUAUUUUUCUAUGAUGUAAACAGUUGUUAGGCGGCAGAUUUUUAAGGAAGUGUUAUUUUAUUUAAGAGUGUUCCCUUCUGUGUGAGAGGAGCUCGGAGAGGGUUUGCUUUCACCUGAAGCCCAUGUCCCCGACCCGCCUCACCCUGCCACUUUAUUUCAUUUUAGGAAAUGUCAGUGUAGACUGAUCAUGGGGUUAAGAAACUUCUUGUUUUGCAAAGAUUUUUUUUUUUUUUUUACAAAUGUAGCUGUGAGGUUGUAUUUGAAAAUAACCCUCUCAACAUCCAGUCAACAUCCUUUGACAGUUUCGCUGCCAUCUCAAAUAGAAUUACCAAAAAAACCCGAAGUAAUUUUAUCUUUGUGUGUCCGUCAGGAUCUGCUCCAAGACUGGCCUUUCCUUCACGGACCCCCCCCCCCAGCCUGGCUCUUUAAAGAAAUCUGUACUGUGUAUUUUUAAUCUAGAAUGAUCCUGAAUUAGCCUCAUAUGUGUUUAGAUGUGCUUGGCACAUGUAUAAGUAUGUGCCAUUACAGAAGCAUUAUGAGGCCCAUGUAUCCUACUGUGUUUAAUACCGAAUUAACCGGCACAGUUUGUGUAUUUCCAUGUGUUUGUCCCUACUUUCUGAGUAAGGUAUUCUUGCUAGCUCACACGCUCUAAAUAAUUCCUGUCUCCUUCUUUCCUUUCUUCCUCCUUUUCUUCCCCCUUUUAAUUUUUCUUUUUUUCUUUUUUGAGAUACCACUUUAUUUCUGGACAUUUCAAAUUCCUAAAAUGUGAACUAUUGGCUGCUCUGUCCUUUGGCCCUGAGCCGCCUGGCUUUCCCGGCCUGUUCUUAGCUGUACCCAGGCUCCUAAGGAGCCUGUGUGUUUGGACUGUGCAGAACAGAACAGAAUCCAGGUGAUGCCGGCAGGGCUUUCCACACACUCCGCCUGCUGUCUCGGCUCCCUGCUCCUCGUGGGGAUCUCUGGAGGACCCGGCCCCUGUGAAGGUCGGAGGAGCCUUAGCUGUCAGAGCAGCAGUAAGACGGGCCGAGCCUCUUCCCUGGAGGACCCUGUGGGGAAGCGGUGCUCACUAUCUUGUGGUUGGGGAGUUGGUCUCCAUGGGCUUGCACUUCCUCUUUAGGGGCAAAUGAAAGAAUGUGUGUGUGUGUGUAUACACUGUUCUGACUUCCUCUUAAAUUUUGUUGACAUCAUCUAAAGGCCUCUUUUAAACAAAAUGUUAAAUUUUAGCAUAUUCCUCAGGAGAGAGAAGAGCACCCUCAAAAACAAAGUUUUCCCUUAUGCACAUCGCAAACAGCCCAAAAUGGAAUGCUCUUCUCUUUUGUUUUACUCCAAAUUGCUGUAUCAUCUUUAUGAGUCCAUUCUGAAUUUUGUUAAAAUUACUAAUAUUUUAACCUAAACUUCUACCUUUUUCUGGAUUGAAGCGUGUAUGUCAAGUUUUAGGGAGAAAAAGUGACUGUAAAAGUUAGUAACUUGAAAAUCUCACUUGUGAACUUUAAUAUUCUGAGGUGAAUAAUAGUCUUUAAUAAGAAAUAGAUUUCCCAUAGGUUUUAAAUACUCUUUUUUCAUUACUUCUGUUUCUCAUAAGUGUACAACUAUGGCUGAAAAAAAGUCUUCAUACUUUGUGUGUGUCAUUGUUUUUCUCGUACACAUGAUUUCCUGUUGGUGUUCAAUAAUUUGGAGUUUAUAAAAUUAAAAGUUCUAAUUUUGGCCAUUUAAGCUAAAAAUUGUCUGCGGAGGUACAAGUGAAAUGUGUGCCUGGAUUUGCAAUAAGAAAGAAUGCUGGUCAUUUGGCUCUGGUCGCCCUUGUUUGAAGGGACUUGUGAGUAGCUGAAGUGAAAUAUUUGUGUUGCCAUUUUUCAGCCUUUUGUUUCUGCAGGCCCCAGAGGACUCCUCCCGAAAGGUGCGGCUUGCCCCGUUGGAGCUUCAGGACUAGUUCUGGGUUAUUCCUACUGCGUGGAUUUCUUUUCCCGAGACCCCAACAUACGGCUGAGCGCACUGCUGUCCUGACUGGCUUGCAGGAGGCCUGGUCUGGGCUCUGGCCCCGGGGAGUUCUCCGCAGAGCUUUCUCUGCCCCACCCGGCUGCGGCGGCAGGUCCCGCCCUGCAGCCUCGCGGACUCCGGAACCAGACCCUGGCCGCUCCCUGACAGCCGCGCGCCCAGCUCCUGCAGUGUCCCGGAGGGGGCUUCUAAGGAAGCCGACUGCUGUGGACAGCAUUUCCCAGCUCAGACUGGAAGGAAGGGCCUGACGGGCGGUAGCACCAGCCCGCCGUCUCUUCCUGUGGCCCCCCAAAGUGGCUUUUGCUUUGGGUUGUGUUUUGUUUGUUUAAAGUGGUUAAAUGUGCCAUCAAGUGUCAGGUUAACAUCUCCUGCAAAGCGACCAGUGCGGCAAAAUUCCAUAAAUAUUUGAACUUAGAGAAACA